rnacentral:rRNA from 1 species
AGUGAACGCUGGCGGUAGGCCUAACACAUGCAAGUCGAACGGCAGCACAGUAAGAGCUUGCUCUUACGGGUGGCGAGUGGCGGACGGGUGAGGAAUACAUCGGAAUCUACUUUUUCGUGGGGGAUAACGUAGGGAAACGUACGCUAAUACCGCAUACGACCUACGGGUGAAAGCAGGGGAUCUUCGGACCUUGCGCGAUUGAAUGAGCCGAUGUCGGAUUAGCUAGUUGGCGGGGUAAAGGCCCACCAAGGCGACGAUCCGUAGCUGGUCUGAGAGGAUGAUCAGCCACACUGGAACUGAGACACGGUCCAGACUCCUACGGGAGGCAGCAGUGGGGAAUAUUGGACAAUGGGCGCAAGCCUGAUCCAGCCAUACCGCGUGGGUGAAGAAGGCCUUCGGGUUGUAAAGCCCUUUUGUCGGGAAAGAAAAGCAGCAGGUUAAUACCCCGCUGUUCUGACGGUACCCAAAGAAUAAGCACCGGCUAACUUCGUG